GAGAAGGGUUAAGAGGCAGUUGGUGGGGAAGGAGAGAAGAGAAGGUGCCUCUCUCCCUGGGGCCUUGCUCAGCUGGAGCUGUGGAGGUCAUUUGGAGGCCUAUGGAGUAUAACAGCCCCAAGGACACAGGACAAAAUAAUGCCUCUCGGAAAGAUGCUACAAGAUGAUGCAGCGCCCUCCUGAGGAGAAUUCUGAGGGCGGGUUCUAACACGAAGAGGAGUGUCCCAGCCACCGGAAGAUACUCUCGUGAGAGCACAGUUCCUCAUGACUGGAAGGAUGCAAACCUAGGACAGCAAAUCAUGGAAAAAUCUAGCAAGCUGUUGCCUCAGAAGGUAAUUCUAUAGCGUCUCUCUAGCAGGGAUGAUUACACUCUUCAAACACACCUAUGCAGGGUCAGGGCAGGUCUUUAUCAAAUUCUGUGUUCCCAUCAGAGUGGAGAGGGACUAGGUCAGAACAGUGAAUCAUACAGAGUCAAGAGAACCUCCUCCUCUGCAUGUCGGUUCUCUGGCCUUACAGGAGCCUUUAAUUAAUUCAUUUCCCAUGGCUCAUUGCUGCCAUGGCUUAUUGUGUCAUUCUCACGGCACACAGUUUGGGAAUUAUUGGCCUGACCUAGAAGCUGCAGUUGAAACUUAUUUCACAGAAAACAACAAAAUAAUACUUUCAGCUAGGAUAUAUCAUUUAAAGGACCAAUUUUAGUUCUAGAGACGAGACUGUGAUUUUUAAAAUAUAUAUAUUAAAAAAUCUUAAACUGUCUGUUUAAAUGACAACUGUUGGCUGAUAUUUGUCUUGUUACCUUGUGAUGCUGAAAAUAGCUCAUGUAAAUAUGUUCUUGGAAUGUGGAGGUGGAUCAAACCAAAGCAAGAUAAAAGAGAAGCUGGACACAUUUUAGUUCCUGUGGGCUGAAGUGAGUCAUUGCAUUCUGCAUAUUCUUAUUCAUUAGACUGGGAGGAUGCUCUGAUCUUAUUCACUGUUAGCUUGAUGUGUAUUCCAACCAGAGAAUGAAAUCUGGGCACCACAGUUCUUUGAUUUCUCAUACAAGGAAAGAAAACAAAACCACCUGGUUGCCCCAGAAUGUUGCAUGGUGUGAAGGAAUGACCUCUUCCCACUUUGUUUUAUGGAUUGUAAUUUGUGUUUUGUUCUUUGUCCACUCAUUAUAUAUAACACACAUAUAUAUACAUAUAUAAUUACUAUUUGUAUCCUGCAUAUAGAGGAGGUUUUUAAGACGGAUAUGUUCUUGUUUGUAAUCCUAUAUGACUCUCAGAGAUGUAACCUUUUCUGGUUUUACUUAUAUUACUAAUAAAAGCAUUAU